GCCGGAGCUUCUUCUGAUGGUACCGUCAUUAUCUUCGCAUCUGAAAGAAUUUUACAACCCUAGGGCCUUCUUCAUUCACGCGGCAUGGCUGCGUCAGAGUUUCCUCCAUUGCGCAAUAUUCCUC
rnacentral:rRNA from 1 species